GGGUAAAGGCCCACCAUGGCGACUAUCCGUAUCUGGUCUGUAAGGAUGAUCAGCCACACUGGAACUGAGACACGGUCCAGACUCCUACGGGAGGCAGCAGUGGGGAAUAUUGGACAAUGGGCGCAAGCCUGAUCCAGCCAUACCGCGUGGGUGAAGAAGGCCUUCGGGUUGUAAAGCCCUUUUGUUGGGAAAGAAAUCCAGCCGGCUAAUACCUGGUUGGGAUGACGGUACCCAAAGAAUAAGCACCGGCUAACUUCGUGCCAGCAGCCGCGGUAAUACGAAGGGUGCAAGCGUUACUCGGAAUUACUGGGCGUAAAGCGUGCGUAGGUGGUUGUUUAAGUCUGUUGUGAAAGCCCUGGGCUCAACCUGGGAACUGCAGUGGAAACUGGACAACUAGAGUGUGGUAGAGGGUAGCGGAAUUCCCGGUGUAGCAGUGAAAUGCGUAGAGAUCGGGAGGAACAUCCAUGGCGAAGGCAGCUACCUGGACCAACACUGACACUGAGGCACGAAAGCGUGGGGAGCAAACAGGAUUAGAUACCCUGGUAGUCCACGCCCUAAACGAUGCGAACUGGAUGUUGGGUGCAAUUUGGCACGCAGUAUCGAAGCUAACGCGUUAAGUUCGCCGCCUGGGGAGUACGGUCGCAAGACUGAAACUCAAAGGAAUUGACGGGGGCCCGCACAAGCGGUGGAAUUAGGU
rnacentral:rRNA from 1 species